rnacentral:rRNA from 1 species
AGAGUUUGAUCCUGGCUCAGGAUGAACGCUAGCUACAGGCUUAACACAUGCAAGUCGAGGGGCAUCGAGAAGAAAGCUUGCUUUCUUUGUCGGCGACCGGCGCACGGGUGAGUAACGCGUAUCCAACCUACCCUUUACACUGGGAUAGCCCGUUGAAAAGCGGAUUACUACCAGAUGCAGUCCUUUGCGGACAUCUAAGUAGGACGAAAGGUUUUUCCGGUAGAGGAUGGGGAUGCGUCCGAUUAGCUUGUUGGCGGGGUAACGGCCCACCAAGGCGACGAUCGGUAGGGGUUCUGAGAGGAAGGUCCCCCACACUGGUACUGAGACACGGACCAGACUCCUACGGGAGGCAGCAGUGAGGAAUAUUGGUCAAUGGGCGGAAGCCUGAACCAGCCAAGUAGCGUGCAGGAUGACGGCCCUAUGGGUUGUAAACUGCUUUUAUAGGGGAAUAAAGUUCGGGACGUGUCCCGUUUUGUAUGUACCCUAUGAAUAAGGACCGGCUAAUUCCGUGCCAGCAGCCGCGGUAAUACGGAAGGUCCGGGCGUUAUCCGGAUUUAUUGGGUUUAAAGGGAGCGUAGGCCGACUUUUAAGCGUGUUGUGAAAUGUGGUGGCUCAACCUCUGCACUGCAGCGCGAACUGGGAGUCUUGAGUGCGCAGUAAGCCGGCGGAAUUCGUUGUGUAGCGGUGAAAUGCUUAGAUAUGACGAAGAACUCCGAUUGCGAAGGCAGCUGGCUGUAGCGUUACUGACGCUGAAGCUCGAAAGCGUGGGGAUCAAACAGGAUUAGAUACCCUGGUAGUCCACGCAGUAAACGAUGAUAACUUGUUGUCGGCGAUAGAGUGUCGGUGACAAAGCGAAAGCGAUAAGUUAUCCACCUGGGGAGUACGAUCGCAAGGUUGAAACUCAAAGGAAUUGACGGGGGCCCGCACAAGCGGAGGAGCAUGUGGUUUAAUUCGAUGAUACGCGAGGAACCUUACCUGGACUCAAAUGUUGAACGACCGGUCUAGAAAUAGACCUUCCCUUCGGGGCGUUUAGCAAGGUGCUGCAUGGUUGUCGUCAGCUCGUGCCGUGAGGUGUCAGGUUAAGUCCUAUAACGAGCGCAACCCCUACGUCCAGUUGCCAGCGGGUAAAGCCGGGGACUCUGGAGGGACUGCCGGCGCAAGCCGAGAGGAAGGUGGGGAUGACGUCAAAUCAGCACGGCCCUUACGUCCAGGGCGACACGCGUGCUACAAUGGCCGGUACAGAGGGCAGCCACCUGGUGACAGGGAGCGAAUCUCGAAAGCCGGUCUCAGUUCGGAUCGGAGUCUGCAACUCGACUCCGUGAAGUUGGAUUCGCUAGUAAUCGCGCAUCAGCCAUGGCGCGGUGAAUACGUUCCCGGGCCUUGCACACACCGCCCGUCAAG